UAGAGUUUGAUCCUGGCUCAGGAUGAACGCUGGCGGUAUGCUUAACACAUGCAAGUCGAACGGUGUCUUCGGACAUAGUGGCGGACGGGUGAGUAACGCGUGAGAAUCUAGCUUCAGGUCUGGGACAACCACUGGAAACGGUGGCUAAUACCGGAUGUGCCGGAAGGUGAAAGGCUUGCUGCCUGAAGAUGAGCUCGCGUCCGAUUAGCUAGUAGGUGGGGUAAGAGCCUACCUAGGCGACGAUCGGUAGCUGGUCUGAGAGGAUGACCAGCCACACUGGGACUGAGACACGGCCCAGACUCCUACGGGAGGCAGCAGUGGGGAAUUUUCCGCAAUGGGCGAAAGCCUGACGGAGCAAUACCGCGUGAGGGAGGAAGGCUCUUGGGUUGUAAACCUCUUUUCUCAGGGAAGAACACAAUGACGGUACCUGAGGAAUCAGCAUCGGCUAACUCCGUGCCAGCAGCCGCGGUAAUACGGAGGAUGCAAGCGUUAUCCGGAAUGAUUGGGCGUAAAGCGUCCGCAGGUGGCUGUGUAAGUCUGCUGUCAAAGAGCAAAGCUCAACUUUGUAAAGGCAGUGGAAACUACACGGCUAGAGUGCGUUCGGGGCAGAGGGAAUUCCUGGUGUAGUCGGUGAAAUGCGUAGAGAUCAGGAAGAACACCGGUGGCGAAGGCGCUCUGCUAGGCCGCAACUGACACUGAGGGACGAAAGCUAGGGGAGCGAAUGGGAUUAGAUACCCCAGUAGUCCUAGCUGUAAACGAUGGAUACUAGGCGUGGCUUGUAUCGACCCGAGCCGUGCCGUAGCUAACGCGUU
rnacentral:rRNA from 1 species